rnacentral:rRNA from 1 species
AUUGAACGCUGGCGGCAGGCCUAACACAUGCAAGUCGAACGGUAACAGGAAACAGCUUGCUGUUUCGCUGACGAGUGGCGGACGGGUGAGUAAUGUCUGGGAAACUGCCUGAUGGAGGGUGAUAACUACUGGAAACGGUAGCUAAUACCGCAUAACGUCGCAAGACCAAAGAGGGGGACCUUCGGGCCUCUUGCCAUCGGAUGUGCCCAGAUGGGAUUAGCUAGGAGGUGGGGUAACGGCUCACCUAGGCGACGAUCCCUAGCUGGUCUGAGAGGAUGACCAGCCACACUGGAACUGAGACACGGUCAAGACUCCUACGGGAGGCAGCAGUGGGGAAUAUUGCACAAUGGGCGCAAGCCUGAUGCAGCCAUGCCGCGUGUAUGAAGAAGGCCUUCGGGUUGUAAAGUACUUUCAGCGGGGAGGAAGGGAGUAAAGUUAAUACCUUUACUCAUUGACGUUACCCGCAGAAGAAGCACCGGCUAACUACGUG